AGCGGCGAACGGGUGAGUAACACGUAGGUGAUCUGCCCAUCAGACGGGGACAACGAUUGGAAACGAUCGCUAAUACCGGAUAGGACGAAAGUUUAAAGGUGCUUCUGGCACCGCUGAUGGAUGAGCCUGCGGCGCAUUAGCUAGUUGGUAGGGUAAAGGCCUACCAAGGCGACGAUGCGUGGCCGACCUGAGAGGGUGAACGGCCACACUGGGACUGAGACACGGCCCAGACUCCUACGGGAGGCAGCAGUAGGGAAUCUUCGGCAAUGGGCGAAAGCCUGACCGAGCAACGCCGCGUGAAUGAUGAAGGCCUUCGGGUUGUAAAAUUCUGUUAUAAGGGAAGAACGACUUUAGUAGGAAAUGGCUAGAGUGUGACGGUACCUUAUGAGAAAGCCACGGCUAACUACGUGCCAGCAGCCGCGGUAAUACGUAGGUGGCGAGCGUUAUCCGGAAUUAUUGGGCGUAAAGAGCGCGCAGGUGGUUGAUUAAGUCUGAUGUGAAAGCCCACGGCUUAACCGUGGAGGGUCAUUGGAAACUGGUCGACUUGAGUGCAGAAGAGGGAAGUGGAAUUCCAUGUGUAGCGGUGAAAUGCGUAGAGAUAUGGAGGAACACCAGUGGCGAAGGCGGCUUCCUGGUUUGUAACUGACACUGAGGCGCGAAAGCGUGGGGAGCAAACAGGAUUAGAUACCCUGGUAGUCCACGCCGUAAACGAUGAGUGCUAAGUGU
rnacentral:rRNA from 1 species